CAAACUCAAGGCUCUGUCUACUAAAUGCAUGGUAUCUGUAGAGGUGUGAAGGAAAGUUAUAUGCCUGUGACAAACUACCCAGCCAAUGGGAGAAUAUUUAAAGUGCACUGCAGCCUGAGAGGAGAGACAGAAUUGGAAUCAUGGUGUGGAUCCUGGUGACAGAAGUUACUGCAACCAGUCCUGAAAUAAGCUGUGUUUGUCCUAGCUGAUAGUGGCUAGAAUUAAGGAUGGAGUCUCUGGAGACCCUCUCUUCUCCCCUGUCCUCUGGACACCCAUGCUGAAAUGUCUUCUCUACUGGCUCUUAAUAAUGCAAUUGCCUGUGUGUGAGGAGAACACAGAGGAAAAGGCAUAAAAAAGGGUGUUUUCGGCAGGUCCCCAGCAGGAUGCACGGCUGCCAUGGAUACCAGCAACCCAGGCUGCAGGGGAAACUGUCAGGCAGAGGAACAAACAAAUGAUAGUUGAAUAGCCAAUCUUGUGUAGUGUAAACUCUCAUCCUGCAGCUCAGGUCAACUAUGCAUAUAUUAGAAAUUAUUUUUCUGCCUCUUGCAGGUGUGACUUUGUAUUUAUAUGUCUUUGAAUAACCUUAUUUGUUAUUUCUAGGAAGUACAAUUUUUUCAUGUAAUGAUUACCUUUGAUAUUAGAUUGCUUUAGAAACUGUAAAACCAGUGGUGUUUUUUUGAGGUUUAAGCCUAUGAAUCAGCAGAAGGAGCUAGUUGGUGAAUUGAAGACUUAAGCGAUGAUCCAUGAUCCAGAUGUACUGUGGUGUGUUUGCAUAUUCAGAUUCUGCAAAAUGAACAAGUAGGAGGUUGAAGACACAUUUAAAAAGGGAAAUAA